rnacentral:rRNA from 1 species
GACUCUCGGCAACGGAUAUCUUGGCUCCCGUCACGAUGAAGAACGUAGCGAAAUGCGAUAGUUGGUGUGAAUUGCAGAGUCCCGUGAAUCAUCGAGUUUUUGAACGCAAGUUGCGCCCGAGGCCAUUCGGCCAAGGGCACGUCUGCCUGGGCGUC